rnacentral:lncRNA from 1 species
CUGGUCUCAAACUCCUGACCUUGCGAUCCGCCCACCUCAGCCUCUCAAAGUGCUGGGAUUACAGGCGUGAGCCACCGCGCCCAGUCGUUAUUUUCCUUUCAUUGUUGACCAGGCUCACUCAGUUUUUCCUGUGAAAGUUAGGCACUGAUCAGGACAAAGCAUGCCCCUGGGAAACUGGAGCCCACACGCAUGUCUACAUCCAGUGGUCAGUUCUCUGUCUACCUUCCCUGACCCUCCAGCUUCAGUGACAGGGUGGGACACUCCCGCUUCCAUCACACACUCCUCACACUGCUGCUUCUCAAGCUGCACUUUUUUUUUUUUUUUUUUUUUUUUUUUUGAGAUGGAGUCUCACUCUGCUGCCCAGGCUGGAGUGCAGUGGUGUGAUCUUGGCUCACUGCAACCUCCGCCUCCUGGGGUUCAAGUGAUUCUCCUGCCUCAGCCUCCCAAAUAGCUGGGACUACAGGCACACGCCAUCAUGCCCAACUAAUUUUUGUAUUUUUAGUAGAGAUGGGGUUUCACCAUAUUGGUCAGGCUGGUCUCGAACUCCUGACCUCAGGUGAUCCACCCGCCUCAGCCUCCCAAAAUGCUGGGAUUACAGACCUGACUACUGUGCUGGACCGGGCAUUACAUUUUGAACCCACCUUCAACUGCCAACCCCAAUCCACAGCUUGCUUCCCCCACGGGCUUCCACAUGUCCAUAAGUGGCAACUCCAGACCUUGGGAUUAUCUCUCUCUCACAUGCCUUCAUCCAAAUCGUCAGCCAAACUUGGCUCUACCUGAAAAGUAUAUGCAGAAUCCAACCACUUCUCGGCAGCUCCAUCAGGAGCUCAUUGUCUCUCACAUUGCAGCAGCCUCCAGAUAAGUGACCUGGCUUCCACUCAGCCCCAUUUCAGAUCGAGUCUUGAUUCUGCAGCAGCCAGAGGAGUUCUUUUUAAACGUUUAUCAGAUCAAGUCACUCUGCUCAAAACCCUUUCCCGGGCCCCCCAUUUCCAAGGCCCCACAUAUUCUGUAUCCCAUGACCUCUCUGACCUGGUCUUCCUCCUCCUCGUCUCUCUUCUCCAGCCCCACCAGCCUCUUCUGUGUUUUUUGACUGGGCAUAGCCACACUCAGAGCCUUUGCAUUGGCUAUGGGAUGCUCCAUGGCCUCCUUCAGCCUUUGGUCACCUUCUCAGUGAGGCCUGCUUGCAACCCCCUCCCAUGCCCGUUCCCUCCAUCCCAGCACCCUAUAUACUCUGUGUUUUACUUAUUUGCUUACUGUAUCUCCUACCACUAGAACAUUCUCUCUCUGACAGCAGGGUAGUGCUUACUCCUGUAUCCCCACUGCUUGGCACAUGGUGGGCACUUAAUAAAUGUGCUGAAUCAGCUAGGCAUUGUGGCUUAUGCCUGUAUUCUGAGUACUUUGUGAGGCCAAGGUGGGAGGAUCACUUGAGGCCGUGGGUUUGAGGCCAGCCUGGGCAACAAAGUGAGACCCCCAUCGCUACAAAAACAAUAUUUUAAAUAAAAAAAAAAAAAAAAAAAAAAAAACAGGCGGGGUGCAGUGGCUCACAACUGUAAUCCCAACACUUUGGGAGGCUGAGGUGGGCAGAUUGUUUCCACCGAGGAGUUCGUGACCAGCCUGGGCAACAUGGCAAAACCCCACCUCUACAAAAAGAAAAAAAAAUUAGCUGGUUGUGGUGGUGUGCACCUGUAGUCCAGCUACCAGGGAGGCUGAGGUGGGAGGAUCACCUGAACCCAGGAGGUUGAGGCUGCAGUAAGCUGAGAUCACAUCACUGCACUCUGGCCUGGGGAACAGAAUGUAACUCUCUCAAAAACAAACACAAAAAAUGCAAAGAACCCCCACAAGUAUGAAAUUAAUGACUGAAGUGGAAUGAAGAUACAUGAAAGAAUUCAGAGGAAUUAGAUCCCCACCAACCCCUAGCCUCUUCUGCACCUCCUUUGCCUGCUGAAGCAAUGUGUCCUCCCCUGAAAGACACCAUGGACAUCAUGAAGGAGUUACCCUGUAAGAGGAAGCUAACUCUUCUCAUGGCCCCUCCUCCCAAUUCCUUAUGAUUUCCAGAGCUUUUAACUAGAGAGAUAUUUCAGCAUGUCUGGAGACCCUUUCACAAAGUCAAGCCCAGAGCAGGAGGCUCACAUAUCAAAAGAGUUGCAAGACUGUUAUUUUAUGUUGGCCAAAAUAUAGAGAAUAUGUGUGGGAACAGACUGAAGUCCUAGACCAAGGAGAUAAGAACAUAAGUUUAUAUUGGGCUGAAUUUAUCAAUAUGGGUGCACUUAGCAAGGAUUUGGAUUCCAUGCACCAGCUCAAGCUGUUGGGGGUUGUUCCACACGUCUAUUUGGUUGGCUGAAUAAAAACUGGAUCCCAGCCGGGCGCGGUGGCUCACUCCUGUAAUCCCAGCACUUUGG